rnacentral:ncRNA from 1 species
AACAACUAAUAACUCAAAAGGUGGAACGAAGGGGUAACGCCCUGAAACGCCUUCCCUAAUACUCCGGCUAGCGUCAGAAUGUGUAACCAUUCAGGGGUUAGAAGCUCGGUGAAGACGGCAGAGAGUAGCCCAAACAGGCCAAGCUGUGGAAAGCUGUCCAGAGGUGGACGGUGCUAGUUAUAUGCCGGGGGUCUAUAAA